AAGAGCGUGGAGAGCACAACACUCACGAACCUAACUUCCAGCUGCAGCUGCUGCUAUGGCCGCUCGUUCAAGAUACCGGAGUAUGUUGUUGUCAUAAUGUGCGGGAAUAGAACGAUUAUUCAUUACCAGCCCUAGUUUGGGGAAAUGUGCCCUUGUAUCCUUGUAUGCAUGACAGUAGUACAAACAUGAAUAACAUUGCUGCUUUUGGUGUUCAGGCAAGCACAUCUGUUCACGGUGCUAGGCUACAUCACGUAGCAUGCCAGACGGACCCACCACAGAUGCGCACACAUGGAACGCAGCUUUCUAUGAAAACACUGCGACCUCACUACAAAAGUACAGGCACACAGAAAACUGUGCUGCACUGAUGUCGGUGUUGGGACCUCAGCUGUAAGAGACCUUGCUUGGAGGAGGGAGAGGACAAGAUGUGACAUUACAUGGAUAACCUGUUGGACCUCAUCUUCCACGAGGUUUUUCAGGACCCGGCCCCAUAUGUGAAUGAGGUGCUGAAGAUCUCAAAACCUGAGGAUCUCUCUGCCUAGUAUGAGAAACCUGACAAGCAGGAAGUUAUAGCCAGCUAUGUGUCGAGUUUCAAUCAAGGGCAGGUCUGAACCCUAUAUAACUUCCCUGAGCAUCAGGGAACACUCUGCGUAUCUGGAGCACCGAGCAGGAGGGCAGGACCACCCUGAUUCUCCGGCCCAGAUAGCCUCAACACCAGCUCACAAAGCUUCUGUACGCCAAAUACCUGUAACAGCUGAGCAAAGUUCACAUUGUAUUUAGAGAAUAAAAGGUGACACACAAAUAUAAAGUGUUCCUUUGUUUACAGUAUAGCUACUGAUGGUACAAAUUGUAUUUUUGUAAUGAAUGUAUUUAUUAUACUUGGUAUUUUUUGUAUUUAUUACCUCUGUCCCAGCCAGUACAUUUAAUAACUGAUUAAAAAGCUCUGUGGCAAUCUUUCUAGCAAUCUU